AGGAAUGUAGCUUAGUUGGUACAGUGCCUGUCUGGCAUGCAGGAAACCUUGGGCUCAAUUCCUAGUACCUC
rnacentral:tRNA from 1 species